UACGGAGGGGGCUAGCGUUGUUCGGAAUUACUGGGCGUAAAGCGCACGUAGGCGGCUUUGUAAGUUAGAGGUGAAAGCCCGGGGCUCAACUCCGGAAUUGCCUUUAAGACUGCAUCGCUAGAAUUGUGGAGAGGUAAGUGGAAUUCCGAGUGUAGAGGUGAAAUUCGUAGAUAUUCGGAAGAACACCGGUGGCGAAGGCGGCGACCUGGUCCGAGACUGACGCUGAGGCGCGAAAGCGUGGGGAGCAAACAGG
rnacentral:rRNA from 1 species